GGGGACUGCAGGCACAGUGAGGAAGGUAGGGAAGGGUCUCUCCAAGACAGGCCCACCAGGAGCCCCCACUGGGAAUAAUGCAGCCCCUCUCAGGGGAUGGAGUGUCUGGAAUUCCAUGGCUGAGGUGCAACAGGUCCCACAGCCUCUCCAGCCUCUGUGGGAAGAAGGAUCAUCUGAUGCCUAUGUAAUAGAGUUGCUGAAGGAGUGGAAGCAGCUUUGACAUUAUCAGUGGAACCCACCAGUGCAGACUGCUUCACCAAGGGCACCUGAGGCAGCAGAUCUGAGGAUUAGGGACGUAGGGAGCUGAAGCCUGGCUGGAGAGGUGGUGCGCACAAGAACCCCCACAUUCCCCGACAGGAGCCUGAAAAAGACGCCAUGUUGGGAGGACACGGAAGCAGUUCUAGGGAGAGGAGCACAUGGCAAGAAGCCAAGGCCUCCUGCCCACAGCCGCCUAGUUUCUUUUGCAGAUACCCUGUGAUUGCCAGCAAGUAAACCAGAUGCAAUUGUGGUUUCCGUGAAGCACAGCUGGAAAACUGCUGCCCCCACGGAGGAAGAGGAAGAUGGGAAGAUGGUGGUUACUGCACACCAGGCACCAGCCUCGGGGCUAUGAGCUGUACAAACAUUACCCAUUUUAUCCUCGUGACCAUGUUCUGAGAAGGCUGUCAAUGAUCUCACUUUAUACAUGGGGAAAUUCAUGCAGACAGAGGCUGACUAAAUUGCCAUGGUCACUCAGCUAGUAGGAACUGGAGCUGUAACUUGAACCCGGGUCUUUUGUUUCUGUGGCUCCUGGUAGCACAUGCCGGGCUUGAAGUGAGAUCCGGAGGAUGUUGGAAACAACGUGUUCCCCAUCAUGAAAGUCCUUAUGAUACCUUAUGAUGCAGAGUUGGCAGCCAGGAGCAGGGGCUUCCAGAAGCAUGGCUGACCCUUGUUGGGAUCUCGCUCCUGUGAGCCUUGGAACGUCUAGGGAGAAAGAGCAGCCAAAUUUAGAGCUGCAGGAGCUUUGAGAUGCAGCUCAGGCAUCAUCUCUGGGAAGUCUUUCCUGGAACCACAGCCUGGGCCCUGUACCUGAUUCCCAGCCCCUGUGGCUCUUUUUGCAUUUGCUGCCUCUUUUCACAAUUCUGUCUCCUUAUGUCUUCCACUCUACACGCAAGCCCCUUGAGGGCAGGACCAUGACUCAGUCAUCCUGUACCCUAGCACCCACCCUGGGUCUGCAUCUGGAAGGAGCUCACUAAGUGAUUAUUGAGCCAAACUGAACUGUAGCAGGAGUGAGCAAAGCUAAUUCAUGGGUGCAGAAUGGGAGCACAGAGCUGCCAGAAUCCAGAGACAACUGUAACUGUCCCGGCACAGGGGGCUUCAGGCCGCGGUGAGAGCCACUGAAAGCAAGAGAGCCAGGUGGUGGCUCAGUUCACACUGAGUCCUGCUGAAGAAAUAGGCACAUCGUGUGUGUUAAAAUCAGCACCCCAUGCACCUGUAGGAAGAGACUGAGGCACCCUGGAGGCCCCUCCCAAUAAUUAAAAGGCCCUCUGGGGCCUGUGGGAGCCCUAGCUGAUGAAAUCACAAAGGCCUCAGCCUCUAAAGUGUUUCCAGUAAAAUGCUACCAGGAUUUUCCUCCCUUAAAUCUGGAUGAAAGGGCUGUCUGUGCUACAAAGUGCACACCUGGCGUUGAUACGCAGUCUCUUGCUGCCUGUUAACUAACCCACCAGCCGACAAGUUCUGCCCACUGGCAGGAGCAAGGACUUAUAAAAAAUAGUGCCUCCCUCCCAAGGGCUUAUGAGCUGGUUAAGUGCAGAGGACAAAUAGAAUGAAAGAAAAGGCAAUCUCGGCAUAGUAUUUAGUUAAUUCUUCUCUCUCUCUUGUUCCCUCUCUCUCCUUUCUCUCUUCCUCCCUCCUUUCUAUGACUUGUCCUCUCCACACAACUCCUUUUCCGUUUUCCCUCCCCUGCCUCCCCACCUUCUUUCUUGACUUCCCAUCUUGCUCCCUUUCUUCCUGCCUGCCCAUCUGCUUUCCUUUCUUAUCUCUGGUGCAAAUUCUGCAUAUAGUCGCUCUCCUCAUUUCAUGACAGGCUGUCUUCAUCAGUUUCUGAGUUCUUUUGUUAUUUUAUAAAAUAUUUUACAUGCUGUCCUCAAAAAAUCCCCUCCCCCAGAAAAGGCCCAUUCAAAAGUACUUACUAUACGUCCUUAGAUAGGCAAUGAUCUCUGAAAUAUAUAUAGGCUUGCUCUAUAUGUGUUUUUGUAAGUGUACUUUUCUUUCAUUAAAUAUGCAGAUCUUAAUUGUACAGUUUGAGGUGUUUUGACAAAGGUAUAUACCAGUAAAACCACCACCCCAACCAAGGUACCGAACACUUUCAUCUCUCUGGAAAGUCCCCUUGUGCCACCUUCCAGUCAACUCUCACCCUCCAGAGGCACCCACUGUUCAGAUUUCUACAUGCAUUUUGCCUGUUGCUGAACUGGAACCUCACAGCCUUUUACGUCUGGCUUCUUUCACUUAACAUAAUGUUUUUAAGUCAUCCAUGUAGUUCAUUCUUUUUUUUGUUGCAGAGCAAUAUUCCAUUGUGUGAAUGGAUGUACUUUAUCCAUCAACAGUUGAUGAAGUUGGGUUGGUGGCACUUUUUGGCUAUCGUGGGUAAUGCUGCUCUGGAUGUUUCUGCACAAGUCUUUAUUGUGGACAUGGGUUUCCAUUUCUUCUGGGCAAAUGCCCAGGAACAGAAUUGCUGAUUCAUUAGGAAGUUAUAUGUUUAACUUCAUAAGAAACUGGAAAACCGCACUCCACAGUGUUCAUGCUAUUGCACAUUGCCCCCAGUGCCAUGUGAAUGUUUCAUUCUUGGGGUCUAGAAUAUCUUACUGCAGUUUUAAUUGGAAGUUCUCUGAUGACUUUUGAUAGAGUAUCUUUUCAUGUGCUUAUUGGUUAUUUAUUUCUUCUUUAAAGAAGAGUCUAGAUCCUUUUCCCAUUUAAAAUUGCAUUGCUUCUAUUUUUACUGUUGAUUCUUAGAAGUUCUUUACAUAUUUUAGAUUUAUAUACAGUAAAUAUUUUCUCCCAGUCCAUGGCUUGCCUUUACCUUUUCUUAAUGGUGUCUUUUGAUUAACCAGACAUUUUAAAUUUUCAUGAAGCCUAUUGUAUCGGGGGUUGUUUUUGUUUGUUCAUUUAUGGUUAGUACUCUUUUUGGUGCUAGCCAGGAAAACUUUGCCUACAUUCUCCUAAGCUCAUGAAUAUAUUUUUCUAUAUUUGUUUCUAGGACAUUUAUAAUUCAAACUUUUAUGUUCUAGCCUAUCACUCAUGUAUAGUUAUGUAUAGUAUAAAUAAGGAUUGAAGUUCAUUUUUCUUUCCAUAUACUUAUCCAGUUAUUCCAGCACCAUUUGUUGAAAACACUUUCUUUCCCUCAUUGAAUUUCCUUGAAGCUUGUGCUCAUAACUUAUAUAACGAGUAUUGCGUUACAAUUUCCAUUAUAUUUCUUAAUUUUUCACUUAACACAAUGUUUAUAUGAUCUAUCCGCAAUGCUGUAUUCAGUCAUUUGAAUUCACUCAUUCAUUUUAUCAUUCAAUAAAUCUGCAGUGGUGAAGAAAACAGAA
rnacentral:lncRNA from 1 species